ensembl:lncRNA
AUUUUUUAUGGAAUAUGUUGAGCAAACCUGGAGAAGCAUCAGCUCAAGAUAUUAUUGUUGUCAUUGCUGUGGAUCUUUACCUGAUACACUGACUUGAUGAGCUCGGGACCAGCACUCCUGCUGUUGGACAGAAAGACAUCAACUCAGUGACUUGAGAUAUGACUGCACUAUGCUGUUGCUGUGACUCCAGUUAAUUCUACAAGACAUGCUGUGACACCAGGAGAGAUGAGUCCUCCGUCACAGAUGGUGUGGUCAGUGAAGAUGGUCGCCUGCAGGUUCAAGCUCAUUGCAUCUUCAACCCACAUCCACUGCCACUGUACUUAAGGGAAGUUAAAGACUUUCUUCUGCACCUACAUUUGGAUCACCUCGAUCCAUGACAGCCAUUCAGGCAGUAAUGCCUGGACUGGAAACAAGCAUCCUUAAAAUAAUACAACAUUCCAGCUCAUGUGUUGGAAUGGAAAACACAUGUGUUGUUUAAAUUAGAGACUGCACUUGUGAUAGAACAAUAAAUAUUUUUAUUUUGAUUAUAUAAGUAAUGUAAGUACAAAACAAA